UACGGGGGGAGCAAGCGUUGUUCGGAUUUACUGGGCGUAAAGGGCGGGUAGGCGGCCACCGCAAGUCAGUUGUGAAAUCUCCGGGCUUAACCCGGAAAGGUCAACUGAUACUGCGGGGCUAGAGUGCAGAAGGGCAACUGGAAUUCUCGGUGUAGCGGUGAAAUGCGUAGAUAUCGAGAGGAACACCUGCGGCGAAGGCGGGUUGCUGGGCUGACACUGACGCUGAGCUGCGAAAGCUAGGGAGCGAACGGG
rnacentral:rRNA from 1 species